CGAGUCGGCCAGGCAAUCGCCGGCGACAACCGAGAUGUCGGUUGUGGCGGGAGGAAAGUCCGGGCUCCAUAGGACAAGGUGCCAGGUAACCCCUGGGGGGCGUGAGCCCACGGAAAGUGCAACAGAAAGCGAACCGCCUACGUCGCGUGCGCGCGGCCGGUAAGGGUGAAAAGGUGCGGUAAGAGCGCACCGC
rnacentral:RNase_P_RNA from 1 species